AUUGAACGCUGGCGGCAUGCCUUACACAUGCAAGUCGAACGGCAGCACGGGUGCUUGCACCUGGUGGCGAGUGGCGAACGGGUGAGUAAUACAUCGGAACAUGUCCUGUAGUGGGGGAUAGCCCGGCGAAAGCCGGAUUAAUACCGCAUACGAUCUACGGAUGACAGCGGGGGACCUUCGGGCCUCGCGCUAUAGGGUUGGCCGAUGGCUGAUUAGCUAGUUGGUGGGGUAAAGGCCUACCAAGGCGACGAUCAGUAGAUGGUCUGAGAGGACGACCAGCCACACUGGGACUGAGACACGGCCCAGACUCCUACGGGAGGCAGCAGUGGGGAAUUUUGGACAAUGGGCGAGAGCCUGAUCCAGCAAUGCCGCGUGUGUGAAGAAGGCCUUCGGGUUGUAAAGCACUUUUGUCCGGAAAGAAAUCCUUGGCUCUAAUACAGUCGGUGGAUGACGGUACCGGAAGAAUAAGCACCGGCUAACUACGUG
rnacentral:rRNA from 1 species